UCUCUUUCCCACCUAUACCAUCACCAUUUACACCCAUCUUUCUCUCACUAAAACUGUACCCAAAAGAUGAACAAGAAGAAAAGAACUGAAGCUGAAAGCUGUUUUCUUUUGAGGGGAAUGUUGUCUGGCUCGAGGCCACUAGAUGCUUCUCUCUUUAUAUAUCUAUAUAUAUCUUAGUCAACGCAACUAUUGUUUAUCAUCUUUGUUGACAAAUGAUGUUUGUGAAAUGUUUGAUUACUGCGAGAAGUUACUGAUCUGGUGUCGUCGGACCAGGCUUCAUUCCCCCCAAUUGUGGCUUCCUGUGUUCUAAAAGAAUUGUUUUUUCUUGAAUCUACAUGUUUCCAUCAUGAAAUGAUCCGGUUUUUGAGGUGAAGAUCUGUUUGGAAGGCGAGAAACGAGCUCAUCUUUUCUAACAAGGAGAUUAGUCCGGCCAAAGUGACUAAAGACAUAAAAUUGAUUGGGUAUUUGUGGAUUAGAAAUAGAUCUUCAUGUAAAUUGAUAGAUUGGUCGGAUUAGUGUAGGUUUUGUUUGUAAGCGGUGUUGUUUGUUUGAGACUAACGUGUUGCUAGAUGCUGGUUUUGAAUAAAAGUUGCGGUUCAAAAGAAAAAAAAAGCAUUUGAAGGAGAAGGUGGGUGUAAUGAUGAUAAAUCUUGUUUGACUCCAGUUUAACUCUGCCAAAAUAUCCAGAAAACCGAAUCCUACCAAAAAGGUUUUCUAAUCAUUGCUACUCUACAAAAUCUGGAAACUAAUUGGAAAAGGAUUGUGGAUUUGGACUGGUAUUGUAAACACUGAUUUUGCCAUCAUGAUGAUGGCCUUCAAGAGUCUGAGAU